rnacentral:rRNA from 1 species
AUUGAACGCUGGCGGCAGGCCUAACACAUGCAAGUCGAGCGGACGAAGGGAGCUUGCGCCUGGAUUCAGCGGCGGACGGGUGAGUAAUGCCUAGGAAUCUGCCUGGUAGUGGGGGAUAACGUACGGAAGCGGGCGCUAAUACCGCAUACGUCCAGAGGGAGAAAGUGGGGGAUCAUCGGACAUCACGCUAUUAGAUGAGCCUAGGUCGGAUUAGCGAGGUGGUAGGGUAAAGGCUUACCAAGGCGACGAUCCGUAGCCGACAUGAGAGGGUGAUCGGUCACACGGGGACUGAGACGCGGUCCGGACUCCUACGGGAGGCAGCAGUAGGGAAUCUUCCGCAAUGGGCGAAAGCCUGACGGAGCAACGCGGCGUGAGUGAUGAAGGUCUUCGGAUCGUAAAACUCUGUUAUGAGGGAAGAACAAAUGUGUAAGUAACUAUGCACGUCUUGACGGUACCUAAUCAGAAAGCCACGGCUAACUACGUG